AUACGUAGGGGGCGAGCGUUGUCCGGAAUGAUUGGGCGUAAAGGGCGCGUAGGCGGCGCGGUAAGUCUGGAGUGAAAGUCCUGCUUUCAAGGUGGGAAUUGCUUUGGAUACUGCCGCGCUUGAGUGCAGGAGAGGUUAUCGGAAUUCCCGGUGUAGCGGUGAAAUGCGUAGAGAUCGGGAGGAACACCAGUGGCGAAGGCGGGUAACUGGACUGCAACUGACGCUGAGGCGCGAAAGUGUGGGGAGCAAACAGGAUUAGAUGCCCUGGUAGUCCACACUGUAAACGAUGUUCGCUAGGUGUGGGGGGUCUGACCCCUUCUGUGCCGCAGCUAACGCAAUAAGCGAACCACCUGGGGAGUACGGUCGCAAGACUGAAACUCAAAGGAAUUGACGGGG
rnacentral:rRNA from 1 species